rnacentral:rRNA from 1 species
UACGAAGGUGGCAAGCGUUACUCGGAAUUACUAGGCGUAAAGGGCAGGUAGGCGGUUCGGUAAGUCUGUUGUGGAAGCUCCCGGCUCAACUGGGAGAGGUCAACGGAAACUGCCGGACUCGAGUGUAGGAGAGGGUACUGGAAUUCCCGGUGUAGCGGUGAAAUGCGCAGAGAUCGGGAGGAACACCGAUGGCGAAAGCAGGUACCUGGACUAUUACUGACGCUCAGCUGCGAAAGCUAGGGGAGCAAACAGG